GAUGAACGCUGGCGGUAUGCUUAACACAUGCAAGUCGAACGGACUCUUCGGAGUUAGUGGCGGACGGGUGAGUAACGCGUGAGAAUCUGGCUUUGGGUUCGGGACAACCACUGGAAACGGUGGCUAAUACCGGAUGUGCCGAGAGGUAAAAGAGAAAUUGCCUGAAGAUGAGCUCGCGUCUGAUUAGCUAGUUGGUGGGGUAAAGGCUCACCAAGGCAGCGAUCAGUAGCUGGUCUGAGAGGAUGACCAGCCACACUGGGACUGAGACACGGCCCAGACUGGUGAGGGGGGAGGGAGGGGGGAGUAGGACGCGGCGGGAGAAAGCCGGGGGGAGGAAGGGGGGGUGGGGGAGGGAGGCUCAUGGGUGUGAAACCUAUGUUAGGAGGGAAGAAAAAACUGACGGUACGAAAGGAAGCAGGUCCGGCAAGCGACGCCACGGGAGCCGCGAUAACAAGGGGAAGAGACAACUCCCGAAC
rnacentral:rRNA from 1 species